UCAUAUUCUGUACUGAGAUUUAUUUAAAUUUUAAUUUGUGAUGUGUAAAGAGUCAAUAAAACCAUUAUAUGUAUUUGGAACCUAAAUAAGAUUUAAUUUCCUUCCAAGAAUAAUGCAGCAAAGUGAAAAACCCUGUAUAAUAUUUUUUAAAAAGCUGCAAGAAAUACAUAUCAGAUUUGAUAAGUGCCAUAUCACACUUGAAUUUGUUGUUAGAAAUUGACUUUUGUCCGAGUGUGGUACAAAAUAUGAUUUUACAUUCCCCUGUUGUUAAUAUCUAUUAAUUUUUAAUAUUGUGAGUAUUCACAUUUGUAUGACUCAAGAAUAUUUUAUAGAUAAUUUUUUGUAUAUAUCUGGUUUUAAUACAUUCUGCACAUGUAUAUACAUCAUUUUGUAUGCAUCAUAAUUAGCAUUGACUUGUAUCUUUGUGAUUUUUAUAAACAUGUACUCUUCAUCUCAUCAUGUGAAUAACAUUCCAUUGUAAAAUAUACAUGUACUAAACAUUAUGUACCUGAAUGUGAUAUGUUCAAUUUUCUUUUAACUUUUAUCAAUACAUAUCAUUUAAGAUAUUAUGUUUAGAUAACUCUCCCUUGGACUGGAUGUAGAUAAAAUUAACAUAUCAAAUGCAGCACUUUAUGGUGUAUUUAUAAUUUAUUGAUACCCCAUGCUUCUAAAUUAUAAGUUUUUCCUAAUUUGGCAUGUUUGAAGAGAAUCAGCUUUUAGAAUGGAAAGAUUGAGUGAAUGUUGAUUCAGGUUGUAUUCCGGACAUUGAAGUAGUUUUUGUAUUUAUGCUUAGUGAUCGACCAGGUUGUGAGGUUUUAAUUUUAUCCAAAACAAGUACAUUCCACGGUUCAUUUUAUGAAGAAAAAAUUGUAUAUGAACUUGAAGAAAAAAGGAUUCAUAUCAGGAAGUUGUAUUUUUUGCUAUAUUUCUACAAUUUUUAUAAUGAUGUGUAGUUGUAUGACUGAUCUAUUAUACAAAAAUCUUUAUUCAGGAAAUAAAGAUAGAAAACU
rnacentral:misc_RNA from 1 species